rnacentral:rRNA from 1 species
AUUGAACGCUGGCGGCAGGCUUAACACAUGCAAGUCGAGCGGAGAGAGGUAGCUUGCUACUGAUCUUAGCGGCGGACGGGUGAGUAAUGCUUAGGAAUCUGCCUAUUAGUGGGGGACAACAUUUCGAAAGGAAUGCUAAUACCGCAUACGUCCUACGGGAGAAAGCAGGGGAUCUUCGGACCUUGCGCUAAUAGAUGAGCCUAAGUCGGAUUAGCGCGUUGGUGGGGUAAAGGCCUACCAAGGCGACGAUCUGUAGCGGGUCUGAGAGGAUGAGCCGCCACACUGGGACUGAGACACGGCCCAGACUCCUACGGGAGGCAGCAGUGGGGAAUAUUGGACAAUGGGCGGAAGCCUGAUCCAGCCAUGCCGCGUGUGUGAAGAAGGCCUUAUGGUUGUAAAGCACUUUAAGCGAGGAGGAGGCUACUUUAGUUAAUACCUAGAGAUAGUGGACGUUACUCGCAGAAUAAGCACCGGCUAACUCUGUGCCAGCCGCCGCCGUAAGAC